UAUAGCAGUAUUGAAUGCAGCCCCCUGCCUCUGCCCUGCUCCAACAGCCACCUUCCAUCUGUGUCGGGAAGCAGUAGGUGCAGUCAGACCUGCAGUUCUCACCUGCAGUGCAGAAGACAGGAUUGCUUUCUCAGCAUUUCAUCAGCACUUCCAUUCAUCAUCAUCUGUUCCAUAAAUUCACUGGUUUUUUAUGCUGUCCUUUUCUGCAGCAAUGCUGGACACUCCUUUAGCACACCAAACUGGACAAGUCAGGGUUACUGGGAAGCUCUCUAGCCAGCCUGCAGUCUUGUUCUGCUGUUGUAGACCUGCCUGCAUCCCACUGCGUGCUGUCCUGCUUCACCCACACCAUGGGUGGUGAAGCCCCAUCACUGCUCUGCUGGAGGCUGCAGCAGACUCCUGCUCUGUGCCCUUCCCACCCAUUGCAGGCACUGAGCAGUGGAAGCUUCUUGGAGUCAUACUUGGGUGUUAAGUCACUCCAGUCUCAGGAGUGUUCUAAGGCAACUGUAGGAGCUUAAACCCUUACAAGUCUCUGCUAAGAGCAGGACUAUCCUGCUUCUGUAAGGCUGAGACCUAGAAAGAAUAGCCUGAGAAGCUAGAUCCAGGCACUUAAAAAUCCAGGAGCUCUGUUCACUGGGAUCAGGGAUUUUUUGUGUUACAGAUGUGGGUAAUACAGGGAGUGUACUCUUCUGGGUUUGUUUUGGUUUGUUUCUCCCCCUCCUAGUCUCCAAUUGUUUUGCAUUAGUCACUGGUGCUGAUUAAAGCCCAUCCCUGAUGAAAUCUAUUAAGGUGACUCCAUUACCACUGUGUCAAGGAACAGGAAGGUAUAAGCUGAUAGACAGAUGCAAUCACUGAGUCUGACCCUACCUGCACAAUAGUGUCUGUAUGCCAGUUACCCCAAAGGAGGUGGUGGUUAGUGGAAAGGCGUGUGCAGGAGCCAAGAAAAAUGAACGAAAGGUUAAGCUUGGAAGGGUAGAGAAGGGAAGAGGUGGGUGCAAAGAGGAACUGAAGAGCUGGCAAAGGGGAUUCAGCUUCUUGUAAACAUACAGCUUCAUGAAAACACGACUUGGAUCUGUGUAGCUGAAGGUUUUUAGAGGCUGGAAAAACAAAAUCUCUUUUAUAAUUUCUCUAGUCCUGACUAAUGACAUGUGGAUGCAGAAUUUUUGUCUGUAUUUGAUCUCCUUGCAUUCCUUGGAAGAAGUGUGCAGAUGAUGCAGCUCCCAGACAUACACUUUGCAGAACAUGAAACCAAGGCAUUUCCAAAUUGCUGUGUUGGAAGAAUUAGAAAAAACAGGAUGAGGGGAGAUGCAGAAAGAAAGAGCCCCUGUGAACCAGAAAACUGAGGUGAAAAGUGGCUGAUUUGCAGGUCUGAAGAGUCAUGGUCAGGUUUCCAUCAGGGCAGUCUGCCUGAGCCCCUGUCAGCGUCUGCCUAUGGAAAAACUUCAUCCAGAUAGAAUGUAAGAGACAUCCCUGAACAACCUGUCACUUAGAGCAUUGCCCCGCUACAGGAAAGGUUCCUGCUCUACCACAGGUGCAGAUGGACGUAUGAGCAUGAUUUAAUCAAAUAUACACUCUUCUGCUAUAUGCA